UACGAAGGGGGCUAGCGUUGCUCGGAAUCACUGGGCGUAAAGGGCGCGUAGGCGGGUCGUUAAGUCAGGGGUGAAAUCCUGGAGCUCAACUCCAGAACUGCCUUUGAUACUGAAGAUCUUGAGUUCGGGAGAGGUGAGUGGAACUGCGAGUGUAGAGGUGAAAUUCGUAGAUAUUCGCAAGAACACCAGUGGCGAAGGCGGCUCACUGGCCCGGUACUGACGCUGAGGUGCGAAAGCGUGGGGAGCAAACAGG
rnacentral:rRNA from 1 species